CCCAUGUUGCCUUUUAAUCUCAAUAUUCAAGUGCUUCAGAUUUUUUCUUAAAAAGGUAGAUAUACCCAUAUUGAGAAAAGUAAUCAAUGAAAGUAAUGAAAUAUCUACUACCAUAAAUAAAGAGAUUUAGGAAUCCAUUUAUGUUGGUAUAAAUGAGUUCUAAAAGUUCAUUACUAUAUAAAAGUUCUAAAAGUUUUGGUAAAUUUGCCCUUAAGACAGUCCACACAAUAUGAAUGUACUAAGACUAAGUGAACAUAGUAUUCCAUUAUCAAUCAACCUUUGAAU
rnacentral:lncRNA from 1 species